rnacentral:misc_RNA from 1 species
AAGUCGUAACAAGGUUUCCGUAGGUGAACCUGCGGAAGGAUCAUUAACACUAAUGAAAUCCAAAACCUUUUGGAUCAACCCAACCUUAGCGAACCGUUCGUAUUUUCCCUUUGCCUAAUUUUACCAAACGCAAAAAACUCUGAUGUAAAGUGUCUGAUUCUUAUUCUCGUUUUCGGUUGUCAUGACCGAGCGGGAAUCAAAAUCUAACGCAAUACAACUCUUAACAACGGAUAUCUUGGCUCUC